CCUACGGGAGGCAGCAGUAAGGAAUAUUGGACAAUGCUCGCAAGAGUGAUCCAGCCAUGCCGCGUGCAGGAAGAAUGCCCUAUGGGUAGUAAACUGCUUUUGAACUAGAGAAAACCCCAGUACGUGUACUGGGCUGAUAGUAUAGUUAGAAUAAGCAUCGGCUAACUUCGUGCCAGCAGCCGCGGUAAGACGAAGGAUGCAAGCGUUAUCCGGAUUCAUUGGGUUUAAAGGGAGCGUAGGUGGACUGAUAAGUCAGUGGUGAAAUCUCCGAGCUUAACUCGGAAAUUGCCAUUGAUACUGUUGGUCUUGAGUACAGUUGCUGUGGGCGGAAUAUGACAUGUAGUGGUGAAAUACAUAGAGAUGUCAUAGAACACCGAUUGCGAAGGCAGCUCACAAAGCUGUAACUGACACUGAGGCUCGAAAGUGCGGGGAUCAAACAGGAUUAGAUACCCUGGUAGUCCGCACCGUAAACGAUGAUUACUCGCUGCUAGGGGGCAACCUUUAGUGGCUUAGCGAAAGCGAUAAGUAAUCCACCUGGGGAGUACGCCGGCAACGGUGAAACGUUAAGGAAUUGACGGNGNGAGAGNGCGAGGACGACACGAGGGAGAGG
rnacentral:rRNA from 1 species